rnacentral:rRNA from 1 species
GACGAACGCUGGCGGCGCGCCUAACACAUGCAAGUCGAACGAGCGAGAGAGAGCUUGCUUUCUCCAGCGAGUGGCGAACGGGUGAGUAACGCGUGAGGAACCUGCCUCAAAGAGGGGGACAACAGUUGGAAACGACUGCUAAUACCGCAUAAGCCCACGACCCGGCAUCGGGUCGAGGGAAAAGGAGCAAUCCGCUUUGAGAUGGCCUCGCGUCCGAUUAGCUAGUUGGUGAGGUAACGGCCCACCAAGGCGACGAUCGGUAGCCGGACUGAGAGGUUGAACGGCCACAUUGGGACUGAGACACGGCCCAGACUCCUACGGGAGGCAGCAGUGGGGAAUAUUGCACAAUGGGGGAAACCCUGAUGCAGCGACGCCGCGUGGAGGAAGAAGGUCUUCGGAUUGUAAACUCCUGUUGUUGAGGAAGAUAAUGACGGUACUCAACAAGGAAGUGACGGCUAACUACGUG